rnacentral:rRNA from 1 species
UACGGAGGGCGCAAGCGUUGUUCGGAAUCACUGGGCGUAAAGCGCGUGUAGGCGGCCGGGCAAGUCGGGUGUGAAAGCCCCGGGCUCAACCUGGGAAUUGCAUUCGAGACUGCAUUGCUGGAGUACGGAAGAGGAGGGCGGAAUUCCCGGUGUAGCGGUGAAAUGCGUAGAUAUCGGGAGGAACAUCAGUGGCGAAGGCGGCCCUCUGGUCCAGUACUGACACUCAAGUGCGAAAGCGUGGGGAGCAAACAGG